rnacentral:lncRNA from 1 species
CCCCCUCACCGCCCGCGGCCGGGUCCCCGAGGAGCCGCCCGGCCGACCCCGCCCCUGCCGAAGCCCCUCCUGGCGGGGAUGCGAGGUCAGAUGAUGCCCCAGCGGGGAUCUAAUUGGCUUCUCCGGAAGAAGGGCCCGGCUGAGUGGGGAUCCGCCCCCUCUUCCUGGCCCCUGGGAGCCGCCCGGUGUAGCCUGUCGGUUGUCAAGUGCACGUGUGCAUGUUCAUUAAUGCAUGCCCAAGUUACAGACGGGAAGUCUGGGGCAGAACCACCACCGACUCUAUGACAGGUCGCUCUGCUGUCAUUCUGUGCCCCCAAAAGAAGAUCUGCGCUUGGAUGAGACUGCUUUUCAAAUUCAGAGGAGAGAUAAAUUAGUCUCUCUCUUCAUUCAUUUUCUAAAAUUCGGACUUUGGUCUCUGACUCACCCAGCAGGCUGCCAUGGAGAAGAGAGAAUCCUGCGAACCAACCCCCGGCCAGGAGGGCUACCAUGGGGUGAAUCUCUCCUCUUUUCCUUCUAGCAUUA